CCCUCAAAUAAAUAUGUUCUCUUCAUUAAAAUUAGCUAUAAUUUUACAAGAUGUUUCAAAAAUAAACUUACAUUAUAAUACUUGGAUUUCAGUUGAAACUAAAUGUUGUCAGUUCAGCAUCUGACCAGGCCU